CGUCCACCGCAUGGUGGGUGUUGGAAAGAUUUAUCGGUUUUGGAUGGACUCGCGGCCUAUCAGCUUGUUGGUGAGGUAAUGGCUCACCAAGGCGACGACGGGUAGCCGGCCUGAGAGGGUGACCGGCCACACUGGGACUGAGACACGGCCCAGACUCCUACGGGAGGCAGCAGUGGGGAAUAUUGCACAAUGGGCGCAAGCCUGAUGCAGCGACGCCGCGUGAGGGAUGACGGCCUUCGGGUUGUAAACCUCUUUCAGUAGGGAAGAAGCGAAAGUGACGGUACCUGCAGAAGAAGCACCGGCUAACUACGUGCCAGCAGCCGCGGUAAUACGUAGGGUGCGAGCGUUAUCCGGAAUUAUUGGGCGUAAAGAGCUCGUAGGCGGUUUGUCGCGUCUGUCGUGAAAGUCCGGGGCUUAACCCCGGAUCUGCGGUGGGUACGGGCAGACUAGAGUGCAGUAGGGGAGACUGGAAUUCCUGGUGUAGCGGUGGAAUGCGCAGAUAUCAGGAGGAACACCGAUGGCGAAGGCAGGUCUCUGGGCUGUAACUGACGCUGAGGAGCGAAAGCAUGGGGAGCGAACAGGAUUAGAUACCCUGGUAGUCCAUGCCGUAAACGUUGGGCACUAGGUGUGGGGACCAUUCCACGGUUUCCGCGCCGCAGCUAACGCAUUAAGUGCCCCGCCUGGGGAGUACGGCCGCAAGGCUAAAACUCAAAGGAAUUGACGGGGGCCCGCACAAGCGGCGGAGCAUGCGGAUUAAUUCGAUGCAACGCGAAGAACCUUACCAAGGCUUGACAUGUUCUCGAUCGCCGUAGAGAUACGGUUUCCCCUUUGGGGCGGGUUCACAGGUGGUGCAUGGUUGUCGUCAGCUCGUGUCGUGAGAUGUUGGGUUAAGUCCCGCAACGAGCGCAACCCUCGUUCCAUGUUGCCAGCACGUCGUGGUGGGGACUCAUGGGAGACUGCCGGGGUCAACUCGGAGGAAGGUGAGGACGACGUCAAAUCAUCAUGCCCCUUAUGUCUUGGGCUUCACGCAUGCUACAAUGGCCGGUACAAUGGGUUGCGAUACUGUGAGGUGGAGCUAAUCCCAAAAAGCCGGUCUCAGUUCGGAUUGGGGUCUGCAACUCGACCCCAUGAAGUCGGAGUCGCUAGUAAUCGCAGAUCAGCAACGCUGCGGUGAAUACGUUCGCGGGCCUUGUACACACCGCGCGUCAAGUCACGAUAUUCGUAACACC
rnacentral:rRNA from 1 species